GACGAACGCUGGCGGCGUGCUUAACACAUGCCAGUCGUACGGUAAGGCCCUUUCGGGGGUACACGAGUGGCGAACGGGUGAGUAACACGUGAGUAACCUGCCCACAACUUUGGGAUAACGCUAGGAAACUGGUGCUAAUACUGGAUAUGUGCUCCUGCUGCAUGGUGGGGGUUGGAAAGCUCCGGCGGUUGUGGAUGGACUCGCGGCCUAUCAGCUUGUUGGUGGGGUAGUGGCCUACCAAGGCGGCGACGGGUAGCCGGCCUGAGGGGGUGACCGGCCACAUUGGGACUGAGAUACGGCCCAGACUCCUGCGGGAGGCAGCAGUGGGGAAUAUUGCACAAUGGGCGCAAGCCUGAUGCAGCAACGCCGCGUGCGGGAUGACGGCCUUCGGGUUGUAAACCGCUUUCAGCAGGGACGAAGCUUUUUGUGACGGUACCUGCAGAAGAAGCACCGGCUAACUACGUG
rnacentral:rRNA from 1 species